rnacentral:rRNA from 1 species
AGCGAACGCUGGCGGCAGGCCUAACACGUGCAAGUCGAACGCACCUUCGGGUGAGUGGCGGACGGGUGCGUAACACGUAUGUAAUCUACCCAUUACUGGAAGAUAGCCCGGAGAAAUUCGGAUUAAUACUCCAUAACACUAUAACAUGGCAUCAUGAAGUAGUUAAAGAUUUAUCGGUAAUGGAAGAGCAUGCGGCUGAU